UACGUAGGGGGCAAGCGUUGUCCGGAUUUAUUGGGCGUAAAGAGCGUGUAGGCGGCCAAGCAGGUCAGCUGUGAAAACUCGAGGCUCAACCUCGAGACGUCGGUUGAAACCGCUUGGCUAGAGUCCGGAAGAGGAGAGUGGAAUUCCCGGUGUAGCGGUGAAAUGCGCAGAUAUCGGGAAGAACACCCGUGGCGAAGGCGGCGACCUGGUCCUUGACUGACGCUGAGGCGCGAAAGCGUGGGGAGCAAACAGG
rnacentral:rRNA from 1 species